rnacentral:lncRNA from 1 species
AUGUUGAUGUUCACUCUUGCCAUCUCCUGUCUGAUGAUUUUUAAUUUCUGCUUUAUUGACUAUGCCAAAGCCUUUGACUGUGUGGAUCACAAUAAACUGUGGAAAAUUCUGAAAGAGAUGGCAAUACCAGACUACUUGACCUGCCUUUUGAGAAACCUGUAUGCAGGUCAGGAAGCAACAGUUAGAACUGGACAUGGAACAACAGACAGGUUCCAAAUAGGAAAAGGAGUACGUCAAGGCUGUAUAUUGUCAUCCUGCUUAUUUAACUUAUAUGCAGAGUACAUCAUGAGAAACACAGGGCUGGAAGCAGCACAAGCUGGAAUCAAGAUUGCCAGGAGAAAUAUCAAUAACCUCAGAUAUGCAGAUGACACCACCCUUAUGGCAGAAAGUGAAGAACAACUAAAGAGCCUCCCGAUGAAAGUGAAAGAGCAGAGUGAAAAAGUUGGCUUAAAGCUCAACAUUCAGAAAACAAAGAUCAUGGCAUCCAGUCCCAUCACUUCAUGGGAAAUAGAUGGGGAAACAAUGGAAAUAAUGACUGACUUUAUUUUGGGGGGCUCCAAAAUCACUGCAGAUGGUGACUGCAGCCAUGAAAUUAAAAGACCCUUACUCCUUGGAAGGAAAGUUAUGACCAACCUAGACAGCAUAUUCAAAAGCAGAAGUAUUACUUUGCCAAGAAAGGUCUGUCUAGUCAAGGCUAUGGUUUUUCCUGUGGUCAUGUAUGGAUGUGAGAGUUGGACUGUGAAGAAGGCUGAGCACCGAAGAAUUGAUGCUUUUGAACUGUGGUGUUGGAGAAGACUCUUGAGAGUCCCUUGGACUGCAAGGAGAUCCAACCAGUCCAUCCUAAGGGAGAUUAGUCCUGGGUGUUCAUUGGAAGGACUGAUGUUGAAGCUUAAACUCCAAUACUCUGGGCACCUGAUGGGAAGAGCUGACUCAAUUGAAAAGACCCUGAUGCUUGGAAAGAUUGAAGGCAUGAGGAGAAGGGGACAAAAGAGUAUGAGAUGUUUGGAUGGCAUCACCCACUCAAUGGACAUGGGUAUGGGUGGACUCCAGGAGCUGGUGAUGGACUGGGAGGCCUGGAGUGCUGUGAUUCAUGGGGUUGCAAAGAGUUGGACACAACUGAGUGACUGA